CUCGAGUGCCAGGUUACAAAUCUGGCUGUCGUGAUGCCUAAAAAGCAUUAUAUAGCAAGGGCCGGGCAAGACCGGUGCCAGCCGCCGCGGUAACACCGGCGGCUCGAGUGGUAACCGUUAUUAUUGGGUCUAAAGGGUCUGUAGCCGGCCGGAUAAGUCUCUUGGGAAAUCUGGCAGCUNAACUGUCAGGCUUUCAGGGGAUACUGUCUGGCUCGAGGCCGGGAGAGGUGAGAGGUACUUCAGGGGUAGGGGUGAAAUCUUGUAAUCCUUGAAGGACCACCAGUGGCGAAGGCGUCUCACCAGAACGGACCUGACGGCAAGGGACGAAAGCUAGGGGCACGAACCGGAUUAGAUACCCGGGUAGUCCUAGCCGUAAACGAUACUCGCUAGGUGUCGGCCACGGUGCGACCGUUGUCGGUGCCGUAGGGAAGCCGUGAAGCGAGCCACCUGGGAAGUACGGCCGCAAGGCUGAAACUUAAAGGAAUUGC
rnacentral:rRNA from 1 species